GAUCGGAUCAUUUGCCUUCAAGUAAUUAAUUCAAAUUUGAGAAAUAUACAUAAUUUUGCUAAAAACGCAUUUAAAGAUGAACUGAUGGAGUUGAUUGAACUGAAACUACACUUUAGAAGCUGCUACACUCAAAUACUAUUAAAGAUGUCGAUAUAAAAUUUAGUACAUUACUUUUAAAGAGUUGUGCCCCUUAACUUUAUUUAAAUGGGAUAGUAUGAAAGAGACUUCUUCAAAUCAGCCACAAGCCACCUCAGGAGGAUUUAUAGCCAGCAAGCAACAUAUACAUUGCAAACAACACCAACAACUAUACCGAUGACAACAGUAACUAUAACUACCCAUUACGUGUGCAUACAUACUUAUGUACAAAGAUACGUGUAAUCGGAGUAAAUGGCAAAUAAACAGUUGACAUUUGGGAAUCUCAAAUUGGCCAGAUAUAAUCGUAUCGCAUCAAUUGGCCGACCGGAUCCAAUAGCAAUCAUUUACAGAAUGAAUAGAGUAGCAUACCCAUUACACACGAGUGUGCUUGUAUGUGUUUGAGUGCAGACGAAGAAGCAGUGAUACAACGAUGAAUCCAUUCUUUUGGAGCGCCACGUGCCUGUCUCUAUCUAAUUGAAUGCAAAAUGUGAUAAGUUCUUUUCACAAGUUAUGCGUGUGUGUGUGUGUGUAAAAUACAGGUAUGCUUUUGUUCUGCAUAUACUCGGGUGAUGGUAAUCAAGGUCAACAAGUACUGCAACAAGUAAGAAAGGAGUUGUGUUGAGUUCAAACAAAAUUUCAUUCAGGGAAAUAUUUAGAACAAGGCACAGCUUUGAUGACAAGCGUAUGCUCAUGUGCAAAACCAUGCAAAUUUAAUUUUAUUCAAGGUGACUUCGAGCCGGAUUCAAUGGUCUUUGCCUUUAAGAUUUUCAACAUCCAGAAGGAAACGUCGG